CUUACACCCCUUUAAUGAUCAGGCUGUUUUUUAUUAUUUUUAUCAGCUGAUAGCAGUUAAAAUUAUGGUAAAAAAUACUUUUAUCUGUUUUUGAUAACUUAAUGCCCAGGAAGAGCAUCUUCCUGGGCAUUAAAUAUAACCCAAAUGUUUUAUUAUGAGCAGAUCUGAUGAAGGUUUAGACAAGCAGUCUGCAAAGUAAAACUUGUUUAGAGUCCAAACUCUUACUAAAGCUUUUAAAAAGAAAAAAUGGUUGAAUUUUGAGAAAUAUCCACAACAGGGGAGCGAGACCUCUGAAAAAUGUAUAUUUUCUCUGAAUUCAUAGAAUAAUGUGAAGAUUCUGGGAAAAGUUGGGAUUCUGAGAUUAAAACGUAAAUCUUUCUAAUCAUAAUUCUGGCAGUUUUUGUGUCCUUCUGCUGUGGAAAGUCGUGCAACAUGAAGAUACUGAGAAGAUGCUUAAAACCUGUAUUUUUAUUCCAUCCAUAAAUAAAAUCAUGAGCUAUUUUUUUAAUCCAAAUUUGAUACAAAGGGCCAUCGUUGGUUCCAGACCCGUUCUAGAACAUUCCUCUAAUCUUAAAGUCAUCAUCAGUUUCUUCCUUUUAACAAAUAUUUAUUUGUUCAAAUAUUUAAUAUUUAUAACUGGAAUAUUUGUUCCUCCCUUUCCCACUGCAGUUAGUCCUGUCCUGCAACCCUGUUUUUGCAGCUUAGUGAAGCCAACCAUCACUAACCUGGGGGUGGUUUUGGACCCAGAGAUGCGGAUGGACUCCCACAUUAGCCAGGGAAGGACCUGAUUGGUGUCCAGAACCUGUUGAAGAAGCACCAGGCUCUGCAGGCUGAGAUCACAGGUCAUGAACCUCGCAUCAAGGCUGUCACCCAGAAAGGAGAGACCAUGGUGGAGGAAGGUCACUUCGCUGGUGAGGAGGUGAAGACUAAGCUGUCAGAGCUUCAUGGACGUUGGGACACGCUAAAGGCCAAGGCGUCCCAGAGGAGGCAGGACCUGGAGGACUCUCUGCAGGCCCAGCAGUACUUUGCGGAUGCUAAUGAGGCCGAGUCCUGGAUGAGGGAGAAGGAGCCCAUCGUUGGAAGUCCAGACUAAGGGAAAGACGAGGACUUGGCCGAGGCUCUCCUGAAGAAGCACAAGGCCCUGAUGUCGGACCUGUCGGCUUAUGGCAGCAGCAUCCAGGCCCUGAAGGAGCAGGCCCAGUCCUGCAGGGACCUGAAGGCCAACGAGUCCCGCCUGAGGGACAUCAACAAGGUGGCAUCUGAACUGGAGUCAGAAGGUCUGAUGGCUGAGGAGGCUCCUAUGGUUCAGGCUCAGCAACAAGAACAUCUGGGUUCUGCUCCUGGAAAGGACGAAGCCGACUCUUAACACGGCGUCACCCUGGAAGACCGUACGGUUGGGCGUUCAGACGACGGCUAACUUUAAUUCCAUCAAGGUAAGAGGAAGCUCUUCCCUUCCUGUCUGAGCGAUCCGUCUCCAGGUUUCCUCGUCCGGCGUCCAGCCCGCUGGCGUCCACCUUCAUCUCACCUUCAUCUCAUCUCACUUCAUUUAUAGUGCAAUACUUUCACAUUAUCAUUUUCCCACACUUCUGUAUACCUGUAUUUUGUUGUUUUUCAAUAAAGAAUGACAAAUUA